rnacentral:rRNA from 1 species
UGGGGAAUAUUGCACAAUGGGGGAAACCCUGAUGGCAGCGACGCCGCGUGAAGGAAGAAGUAUCUCGGUAUGUAAACUUCUAUCAGCAGGGAAGAUAGUGACGGUACCUGACUAAGAAGCCCCGGCUAACUACGUGCC